AACGAACGCUGGCGGCAGGCUUAACACGUGCAAGUCGAACGCCCCGCAAGGGGAGUGGCCGACGGGUGAGUAACGCGUGGGAACAUACCCUUUUCUACGGAAUAGCUCUGGGAAACUGGAAUUAAUACCGUAUACGCCCUACGGGGGAAAGAUUUAUCGGGGAAGGAUUGGCCCGCGUUGGAUUAGCUAGUUGGUGGGGUAAAGGCCUACCAAGGCGACGAUCCAUAGCUGGUCUGAGAGGAUGAUCAGCCACAUUGGGACUGAGACACGGCCCAAACUCCUACGGGAGGCAGCAGUGGGGAAUAUUGGACAAUGGGCGCAAGCCUGAUCCAGCCAUGCCGCGUGAGUGAUGAAGGCCUUAGGGUUGUAAAGCUCUUUCACCGAUGAAGAUAAUGACGGUAGUCGGAGAAGAAGCCCCGGCUAACUUCGU
rnacentral:rRNA from 1 species